GUGCCUCAAACUAAUGAGUAAGGAAAACCAAUCAGCCUUGCUAAUCGCUUGGCAGUAUUGGCUUCUAGGCAGGGGGGCGUGUCCCGCGCCCCUUGAAGCUCAAAUUUUUGCAAGGGCACAGGUCGUCCCCUCCUCCUCCGCGUGGGUGGCGUUCGGCCGAGCGAACCGGCGCCUACUUUGCGUCCGGCUAGCGAGGAUCUCUGGGUGCCAUCCCACGGCUGGGUGUUGCGAUCUGCCC
ensembl:snRNA snRNA:U12 small nuclear RNA U12